GGAGUCUGGUCCGUGUCUCAGUACCAGUGUGGGGGACCUUCCUCUCAGAACCCCUACUGAUCGAUGGCUCGGUGGGCCGUUACCCCGCCGACUGCCUAAUCAGACGCAUCCCCAUCCCUUAGCGAUAAAUCUUUGGUUCACUUCAGAUGUCCUCGACGAACAACAUAGGGUAUUAAUCCGACUUUCGCCGGGC
rnacentral:rRNA from 1 species